AUGAUAUGUCUACAGCAGCCAGAUGGAUAAUUCAUUAAUAACGAGCACAUGGGGUCGCUCUGGCUAAAACAGCAUACAUGGAGAAUUUCAAAAGGCUUGCGCAUUAACGAGGCUCACUGUUCCACCGCGUGCUAUUGACUUUUUCCCUUCGUCCACUUUUGCGCAAAGGGAGAGUGUUGUAAGCGGUCCCUGUGGAUAUACUGUGUCUUCAUGAGGAGUUGAGCGCAAAUAAGGGGGCGGGUGAUGAUAAUGUGUGAAGAGUGGCAGCAACUUCUCACUGCACGGCAACAUUUUCGGUUCUUCUUCAGGCGAUAUGCCCUUUCUUUCUAAAGAAUCUCCAAGGAGGAAGGCUGGUGGUGGACAUGGUGAAAAUGACAGAGAAGAAGUGCCUCAAAUUGCAUUGCUGGAACUUACCAGGCUACGCAUAGAGGAAAUACACACACUGAAGCACUCCUCAAAUUGCAACAGAUGGGGCCCCCAUCUAAGGUGUGAGUGUUCUGUGCCAGAAUAACCAACUUGGGAAGCAAAGAGUGAGUUUACCAUGGCAAGCCCAUGCAGUGAACCUACAAAAAGUCAACAGUACUGAAUUAUGGCCACCGCCGCAGAGCUGCAUGAGGCGAACCUCCACUAAACUCUAUUGUGAUUUCUUGGAGAAACUGAUGUAAAUGAACCAAAACAAGACAAUUUGCAAUAUAAACUGUUAUUCAAACCUGCAGACAUUUAUUUCUAUACAAAAUGAAAGAAUUUUGCUAUUCGAAUAUGCAGGUCUUUAGUAGGCCUGUUAUGCUUAGUUUUAAUUUCACAGUCAAGACCAUAAAGAUUUGUUGAGAUUUGCGUGGGUGAGGAUUGAUUGUUCCUGUGAGGUAAGUGGAAGUUUUCCUGAAAGCUAAGAAUCCUUGACCCAUAACCCCUUCACCCACUCAUUUAGACCAGUCACACACAGGCACGCAUUAAUUUAAAGGAAUUUUUUAUUUUUUUUUAAAUACAUGUAAUGCCUCUCCCACUCUCUCCUCCAGCACACCCAUAUGUGCGCCAAAGACUACGACACCCAAAGGAGUAACUUUGAAAAAAGAAAAAAAAAAAAGUAAUGAACAAACUAGGGCCUGGUUUGAAGAGUAGUCUAUGAACUUAAGCAUUAAACCAGACGUUACAAUAUAUUCUUUGUAUACUGUGACGCGAGUUGAUCAAAAGGAAGCUAUUUUUACAUCUUUAACAUUUUCUUGUGUGAUGGUGGCUGCAUAAUUUGUUUACUCAGUUGUUAGCAUUGCUUUCAACUAGCUAACAAUCUCAGACGCUGUGCGUGUGUGUGUUCUGCACACAUCUUCUGUCCCAAAGAGGGCAUGCACAUGACAUGAAGCCUGAGGCAAAAUCUCUUAUCAGAUAGCAGUGAAACUACGAUGAACGGACUGUUCAUUCAGAGUAAUAUUAACAAUAUUCAAGUGGUUCUGGCCUUUUAUAUAAUAAUGAAAUAUUCAAUUUACACUGUAUGUAAAUAAAGCUAAAAAGUUCAUAAAAGUAAAGUUCAUAAAAACAGUAUCAAUGUCAGAUCUAUUUAUGAUAAAUGACUGUUCUAUGACUAAAUUCUGUGAAACCAUGUAAAAUUUAAUUGAAGAUGUAAUUAAUGUCAUUUAUUUCUUUACUUCCAGA
ensembl:lncRNA